AUGCCGCGCUCCGGUCUCCUCCCUAACCACGAAGUGGGCGCACGUGGUGCGGGCUCCAGCGAACGCGGCCGCGCGCGAUCCAGUGUCCCGGCGGCGCCCGCAUCCCUCGCCUCUCCGGUCGCAAGUCGCUUCCCUAACCACAAAUUGGGCGCAGGCGGGGUGGGAUCCGGCGAACACGGCCGCACGCGAUCCAGCGGCGCCCGCAUCCCUCGCCUCUCCGGUCGCACGUCUCCUCCCUUCCUACGAAGUGGGUGCACGCAGGGCGGACUCUCCGCCAACCGCCUCCAGGAGCUCUGCUUCCGCAAAGGCGGCAUCUACAUCAAGCUCGGCCAGCACAUCGCAAACUGGAACAACUGCUUGUUUGCUUGUACUACCACAGGUGUAUGUGCAGACGAUGAGGGCGCCGAUGCGAAAGAGUUUAGAAGAAACUCUGACAUAAAAUUUGGCUUCCCCCUAUUCCUGGUGGUGUACGUUUUUGCACAAUUCUUCCUUUUCCCGCUUGCAAGUGCUUCUCUUGUGCAAGUUCAUGCCGCCACAACCCAUGAUGGGAAAAAAAUCGCUGUCAAGGUUCAACAUGACCACUUGGUGGAUACUUCUGUAAUAGAUAUCGCCACCGUGGAUUUAGUAGUGAAUGCUCUUCAUUAUAUUUUCCCUACAUUUGUCUACAGUUUUCUUGUACAGAAAACAGAAGGAUCAGGUUAUCAUUUCUUCAUGACUUCUCUUAUGCUCCCAAGGAAUCUGGUCCAAACUCCACAUCGCUGUCACAGAACAAAGUGGGAGGCACAAUUGAAAGAGGCCAGCUAG
rnacentral:rRNA from 1 species